CUCCUUCUAAAAAAGCCCUUGCUCUGUCUGGCCUGUGGCUGAGCAAGGUGUCGUGGAAGGAUAUAGUAAACUCCAUUGCUUUUGGGUGAGAUGGCAGUGUUUUAAACGUGCUGUUCAAUCUCAAUCCGUGAUGGGACAGUG
rnacentral:snoRNA from 1 species